UGUCCGGAUUAUUGGGCGUAAAGCGCGCGCAGGCGGAUUGGUCAGUCUGUCUUAAAAGUUCGGGGCUUAACCCCGUGAUGGGAUGGAAACUGCCAAUCUAGAGUAUCGGAGAGGAAAGUGGAAUUCCUAGUGUAGCGGUGAAAUGCGUAGAUAUUAGGAAGAACACCAGUGGCGAAGGCGACUUUCUGGACGAAAACUGACGCUGAGGCGCGAAAGCCAGGGGAGCGAACGGGAUUAGAUACCCCGGUAGUCCUGGCCGUAAACGAUGGGUACUAGGUGUAGGAGGUAUCGACCCCUUCUGUGCCGGAGUUAACGCAAUAAGUACCCCGCCUGGGGAGUACGACCGCAAGGUUGAAACUCAAAGGAAUUGACGGGGGCCCGCACAAGCGGUGGAGUAUGUGGUUUAAUUCGACGCAACGCGAAGAACCUUACCAGGUCUUGACAUUGAUGGACAGGACUAGAGAUAGUUCCUCUUCUUCGGAAGCCAGAAAACAGGUGGUGCACGGUUGUCGUCAGCUCGUGUCGUG
rnacentral:rRNA from 1 species